rnacentral:rRNA from 1 species
UACGUAGGGUGCAAGCGUUGUCCGGAUUUAUUGGGCGUAAAGAGCUCGUAGGCGGUUUGUCGCGUCGGAUGUGAAAUCCCAGGGCUCAACCCUGGGCCUGCAGUCGAUACGGGCAGGCUAGAAUUCGGUAGGGGAGACUGGAAUUCCUGGUGUAGCGGUGAAAUGCGCAGAUAUCAGGAGGAACACCGGUGGCGAAGGCGGGUCUCUGGGCCGAUAUUGACGCUGAGGAGCGAAAGCGUGGGGAGCGAACAGG